AUGCCCUUAUGCACCUUGUUAGUAUGUGCUACUUGCUGGUAUUAUUCUCUUAUGUCAUGUUGGUUGGUAGUACAUGCUGGUGAUAGUGAUCUUCUUCGAUGCAUUAUUACAUUUGUUAUGAAAGUACAUGUGUUAUAUAUGAUCAUGAUGCCAUGUUCAUCUGCAUUUAGUAGUCUAAGUGUUGCAUUAGUAUUGAUGCUAGUGAUUCAUAUGGUUAUGUUGCUCCUCCAUGCUUAUGUUAAUAUCAUGCUCAUGUGCAUUAUUAUUUUGUCAUAUUAUGACUCAGCAUCUUUCGCAUUCAAGUUUAACCGGACAUUUAUUAAACUUGAACACCUGUUAGCUGAGUCAUAG
rnacentral:rRNA from 1 species